GCCCGAUUAGCUCAGUCGGUAGAGCGUGAGACUCUUAAUCUCAGUGUCACGGGUUCGAGCCCCGUAUCGGGCU
rfam:Capsaspora owczarzaki ATCC 30864 unplaced genomic scaffold supercont2.5, whole genome shotgun sequence.